rnacentral:lncRNA from 1 species
GAAGUGGGUACAAGUUCUCAUUAUCAAGAGUAAAAGUAAAAUUUCAUUACCAACACAAGCAAUUUAUUUCUGUACCAUAACUUUAGGAAAAAAAUGGAUAUUAUCACAACUGAAUUUAGUUGUCAAGAACAAACCAGAAAAUAAAACGAAAGCACUCACCCAUGGGCUCUGGAGUCUUCCAGAUGGCAUACAAGGAUGCAGUGUGUAAAAUAAGAACAAAACAAAUACGUGACCUGAACUUUGGGUAAGUCACUCAGUGUUUCAUGACAGGGGUCUCUCAUCUGUAGACAGAACUGCUUAUCUCUUGACCAAUUUACAUGACAAUUGCAAGGAUCAAUUAAUUGUAACAUUGUAGCUUAAAAUAUUAUAUGUCAUUGGUGGAACAGAUCCUGUAUUGGUUACUUUUCUAGUCACUGUGACAAAAUGUCUGACAGAAGCAACUUAAGGAAGGAAAGACUUAUUUCAGCGCAUGAUUUCAGUCCAUCAUGGCAGAGAAUUAUGGUGGACCCACUCACCGUACAGCUGGAUGGAAAGUGCAUCGCAGACCAGAACCAGAACCAGAUAUAAUUGUAGGGUAUAAGGUCUUAACCCAUUUCCUCUUGAAAAUUCUUAACAGAACUCCACCAAUCCCUCAGCAUAAAAGUCCUCUAAUCCAUGAGCACGAAAACCAACCAAUCUCAGAGCACAAAAACGCGCUAAUUCCCCUCAUUGUGAAAUCCCACCAAUCCCUGGUCUUGCUCCGAGUACAGGACUUGAAACCUCACUAGUUCUCACUCUGCAAAUCUCUACCCCGGGGAACUCCUCCCCGUCAAGCCCUAUAUAAACCUGACUCCUGCCCCAUUCCCUGCUGCAUCUAUCUGCCCACAGCCCAGCAGAGGUAGCCACCUCGUGUCUUUCCCAAUAAAUCUCGUCUGUGAGGUUUGUUGUGUGGUGUGACUUGGUGGAUAUUUCUUGGCUCCAAGAUGCCAGGGUACCUUCCUUCUCUGAGCUGUAAUGUUUCCAUCAGAGAAACCUUCCCUUUAGAACUAUUACCUUCUCCUUCCUCUUAGAGCUAUGACACCUUCAUCAGAAAGCCCGCCCACCCCCCACCCCCUCCACCCCACUAGAGCUAUAACAUCUCCAUAGAAGCUUUUGCUUUAGAGCCUUGUCACCUCUACCAGAAAAGCUUUUCCCCACAGAGCUGUAACACUUAAAAUAACCUUCCAGGCUUGCCUCUAGUAAAUGCCCGCUGCCAGCAAGGUCCAACAACCAACGUUUCCAUAACGUCCCACAACAGCACCCACUAGCCAGGGGUGGAAUCUUCUCUAGAGAAUAGUUCAUAUUAAACCAUAACAGACGCCACAAAGCAUCUUAAAGCUCUCUGUGGGCUUUCAGGAAAGGCAUAGCUAAUGACUGUAGUUCUCCACUAUUUCCUAUUCAGAGUUAAGUCUUGUAAUCUUUACCUCCCCCUUUCCCCCCCCACACACCCCAGCAUCCCAGGGCCAGUCUUAGCUUCUCAGAUCUCACCAGGUAGGACCUGUUACAUGUUCCAUUACUUGGUCAGGAGUUAAGGGACCUAGAUUUCCUUGUUAUUGAAUGUUGCUUUGCCAGCUUUUUGCUUAGAUCAGUGGUUCUCGACCUUCUUAAUGCAAUGAUCCUUUAAUACAGUUCCUCAUACUAUAGUGACCCCCAACUGUAAAAUUAUCUUUGUUGCUACUUCAUAAUUGUAUUUUUUGCUGCUGUUAUGAAUUGUAACAUAAAUAUAUGCUAUGCAGGAUAUGCAACCAUGUGGAAGGGUCGUUUGAUCCCCAAAGGGGUUGCAAAUCACAGGUUGAAAACCACUGGCUUAGACAGAUUGAUUCUAUCAGUAUUUGCUUAGAAAGAACUCUACCUGGCUUCCUCAAAGGUCACCACAGUAUAGCCCUGUAUCCCAAGAGAUGUUUCUUUAGGACCCUAACACAUUUGUGAUUAGAGUUGAUUGGGUGGCUUGCAGAAUAAACCUGGUU